rnacentral:rRNA from 1 species
UACGUAGGGGGCAAGCGUUGUCCGGAUUUAUUGGGCGUAAAGAGCGUGUAGGCGGCCAGACAGGUCCGUUGUGAAAACUCGAGGCUCAACCUCGAGAUGUCGAUGGAAACCGUCUGGCUAGAGUCCGGAAGAGGAGUGUGGAAUCCUGGUGUAGCGGUGAAAUGCGCAGAUAUCAGGAAGAACACCUAUGGCGAAGGCAGCACUCUGGGACGGUACUGACGCUGAGACGCGAAAGCGUGGGGAGCGAACAGGAU